AUCGCUUCUCGGCCUUUUGGCUAAGAUCAAAGGUUAGUAAUUGUUCUUAUUCAGCUUAAUAUUGUACGUUCCUCCAUUGGGGGACAAUCGAAUUUAAAUGAUUUUUGAAAGGGGGGAGGGGGCCCGGGGCUUGCUCCGCCCUCACCAGGGUUGAACCGGUUUGCAGUACUCCGGGAAUGGCCCACCACAU